ensembl:lncRNA
CUGGAAAGAACAUUUAAUAUCACCCAGAAUGCCAACCAGAAUAAGAAUGACCAGACAGAAUGAAAUGAUGAUUGAUAGAUGUUCUUGGCGUGGGUUGACGUGAGGAAUAUCUGUCAACAAACAAAACAGAAAAUGGAACAAUACUACCGUUGUGUUUCAUCAAACUGCACAGUUUCGACUCACUACAAUUCUGAAUACGGCAUUCAAACCAUUUGAGAGGUAGAGUUGGAGCGAGACAUCAGAGGUCAUGACCUCUGCUGUGUCUCCUCCAUCCUCAGAGCAGGUUUGAUUGCUGCAGGUGAAGGUGGAGUUUAAGGAGGAGCUCUGAGUGCUACAGGUCACGGUCACUUUACAGGAUUCAGAACUGGGAGACCCAGGCGACACAUUCAGGACCACUGGGGAUACCUGCUCUGGAACAAGGAGAUUUUGAUAGCAUUAAAAUACAUACAAAGAAACAGCUUGUAUCAAAUGUCUGUACUCUGUUUCAGUGAGCAUACCUUGAACUGUGACGUGGUAGUCGGCGAUAAUUUCUGCCUCUUUAGAAGAAUCCAAUGCUUGGUAAAGUCCACUUUCAUUCAAUCCUAGGUUUUUAAUUCGCAAAGAAUAACUCACGGUUGAAAACUCUGCCCUUUCUCUAAGUUUAUUGUCUAGAAAUUUAUCCGGAAAAUAUGUUAUAAUUAUUAAUUCUUUUGAUCUUAUUAUGCGUUUCCAAAUGAAACUUUGAACUUCGUGUUUCGGUGUUUCGAUUUUCAUUAUUACAUCUUUUCCCUUCAGCAAAAAUAAGGAAUUAUUUGUGUACCCUGAAAGAAAUAAAAAACAAAAUAAUUACACAAAGAAAUGUUGUAACGUGCAUUCAUAAUUCUCCAGCUAUCUAGACUGAUACAUAGACACAAUGUCUUUGAAUAUUGAAAACUAUACAUCACCAUUUUGCACAUCAAGAGAUAAAAACGAAUCCAUUACAAAGAAGGUCAAAAAAUUGGCCUACCACAUAUAAACAGAUACAUACAACAGAAAAUACUACAGCUUAUUAAUAUUAUAAAUAUCGCUUUAGAUAACAGCCUGCGUACCCUGUAUUUACCAUGUAACUUAAUGUAACAAAG